ACCAGGUGCUUGGACUAGAAGAGAAAUCCUCGGUGAAUAUAAUUUCUGAAGUUUAUGGAGAACUUCAGGUGGUACCUG
rnacentral:ribozyme from 1 species